AUGACUCUCGGCAACGGAUAUCUCGGCUCUUGCAUCGAUGAAGAACGUAGCGAAAUGCGAUACUUGGUGUGAAUUGCAGAAUCCCGUGAACCAUCGAGUCUUUGAACGCAAGUUGCGCCCAAAGCCAUUAGGCUGAGGGCACGCCUGCCUGGGUGUC
rnacentral:rRNA from 1 species